AGUGCGCGGCCGGAGGAGGCGAGCGCUGGGGACGCAGCACCUGCCCCGCGCGGCCGAGAGGCGGCAGCCCCAGGUCCCCAGCGCGCGAAAUUAGUAAAGGGCGCCUGGCCCGAUUCUCAGGCAAGAGGAGAUUAUCAGCCGGAUUCCCGUGCGGGGACGUAGGGGUUGCGUUGUUCAGCGGCCAGGGAUGCGCCGAGGCGAUGUCUCCUCCCUUUACAACCCGAGUAUCGGGGCACGAGGAGGCGCGACCUUCCUGGGUACCCAAACCUCUGGCCUCCGGGAGACGCGGAAUUCGGGGGAUCGUUAAGGCGCCCUGGCCAGGGAAACAGAUGCUUCUGCGUCUGGGCUGAAAAUUGCUGAACCGGGGAAUGUGGGUGGGCGGGUGGCAUUGAACUUAGGCCAGAAGAGGGGGCUUUGGUAGGUUUUUACCUGCCUGUCCUUAGGCGGAGGACACUGGCUGGACAGGCUGCGUUACACACCUGAAGUCUCAUCCACGCAAAGUGCUUUCAGGUUGGAAUGUGGGGCGGGGGCGGGGGGAGGUCAGAGGGAACAGUUGCUGUAAAUUAGGUACAAGGAUCAAUUUGUGGUGUGUUGUGCGCGGGGGUGGGGCAUGUCGAAAGCCUUGUUAUUCGAAAGAAUGUGCUUUGAACGACGUUGCCACGGUCAUUCUACAUUAUGAAUCUACUGUUUCCUUGCAGAAGUGGCUCCCUUCGCCGCAACUCCACACCUCGGGGUAACCGUAGAGAUUGGCAGCAAUGCCCCAGCCCCUCACCAGCACUGUGCAAAGUGACUUUGACAGGCAGAGAAAAGCCAACCCAGUCGAAUUCGUCUGGAAAGCAUUCCAGCAACCCAGAGAGGAGCCUCUGUUUCUCUCUCUGGGAAAAAGCCCCAAGGGUUUUGCUGAACCCAGGUCUUCCUGCUCAUCUCUCAGCAGUUCAGAGCUACAUAAACAACUUCUGACCAUUUACGCAAUCAUGUAAACCUACCCUGACAUCUCCACUAUGUGGAAAAGAUGUUAACUGGAAAACUAUUUUUAAACUACUGCAGUAAGCAAAUAAACAUCCAACUCCAACAUAUAUAUGCAGCAGCCUUAUUAGUUCAUUCAGUGUUGGUUUGGUUUGUUUGUUUUGUCUUCUGCUU
rnacentral:lncRNA from 1 species